rnacentral:rRNA from 1 species
CCUACGGGAGGCAGCAGCAGGGAAUCUUGCGCAAUGGGCGAAAGCCUGACGCAGCGACACCGCGUGGGGGAAGAAGGCCUCAGGGUUGUAAACCCCUUUUCUGUGGGAAGAGAUAGGACGGUACCACAGGAAUAAGCAUCGGCUAACUACGUGCCAGCAGCCGCGGUAAUACGUAGGAUGCAAGCGUUGUCCGGAUUUACUGGGCGUAAAGGGUGUGUAGGCGGCAUGUUAAGUCUCAUGUGAAAUCUCCCGGCUCAACUGGGAGGGGUCAUGGGAAACUGGCAAGCUGGAGGGCAGCAGAGGAAAGCGGAAUUCCGGGAGUAGUGGUGGAAUGCGUAGAUACCCGGAGGAACACCAGAGGCGAAGGCGGCUUUCUGGGCUGUACCUGACGCUGAGACACGAAAGCGUGGGGAGCGAACCGGAUUAGAUACCCGGGUAGUCCACGCCCUAAACGAUGGAUACUAGAUAUAGGGGGUAUUGACCCCUCCUGUGUCGGAGUUAACGCGAUAAGUAUCCCGCCUGGGGAGUACGGCCGCAAGGCUAAAACUCAAAGGAAUUGACGG